UGAGGGAGGGGAAAGGGGUAGACAAGCUGUGCCUCCCUCCCAAAAGAGAAGGAUGCUGCCAUCCCUGCUCCAGCUAUUCCAGCCUCUGAUCCGCAUGCGAUACGGACACACACGGCUGGACCAGAGUGAAAAAGUCAAAGAGAAAGGAAAACAGCAUGGACAGGAGGGUCCUUGAGGCCACGGCCGCCGCAGCCCCCCUGGAGGGGACACGCGCUCCGGCGCUGCCCGGGGGGGAUCGCAAACCAGGGAUAGUCGGGAGGCAGAUGCGUGGGCCCGGGGAAACGCCGGGGUUGUGCAAGGCGGGCCGAGGGAGGAGCGGGGCCGGGCACGGCAGCGGAGCGGGGCCGCCGCGGGGCAUCGGCACCGCCCGGGGGGCGAGGGGACCCCCACCCGCACCCCGCCGAGCCUCCUCCUCUCCCCCCGGGCACCGCCGGGAACACAGACACCCAGCCUGUCCCCCGCGGGGGCCGGCAGCAGCCCCCGCCCUGACCGGGAGAGGAUAAACUGAGGCACGGCACGACUGCCGCGACAGCCUGCGGCACCGGGCGGCCCCGGAGCAAAUCCCCGGGGGACGGCACGGCCCCGGUGCCCUCCGGGGUCUCACCCCGACCACCCGAGCGGCCCGAGCGCCCGGGAACCGGCCAGAUACAGGCAACGCGCAGCCCCGAUCCCGGCAGUUCCUUCCGGCCCGGGCCCCUUCGCCGGGGCGGCGCGACCCCGGUGCCCGGGAUCCCUUUCCUCUGUGCUGCUGCUGGAAUUGUGCCGUCAUGAAGCACCGAAAUCAGCCAGAGGAGCAACAAGCACAGGGAACACCUGGUUUCACUCUGGUCUUUGGGACUUGCUCAGCAACUACCUGAUUUUCUUUCUUUGGUUGGUUUUGCCACAAGGAGAAGGUGGUGGGUUUUUAUUAAAUAUAUGUAUAAAUAAAAGCAACAAACCAGGAGUGAAGAAA